GGGAAUGUGGCUCAGUAGUAGAGCACUUGCCUGGCAUGCAUGGGACCCUGUGUUCAAUCCCCAGUACUACAA
rnacentral:tRNA from 1 species